UCAUGACCUGAGCCAAAUCAAGAGUCGAUGCUUAACUGACUGAGCCACCCAGGCAUCCCAUCUCACUAAGUUAUUUUAAACACAUAAGAGUUGUUCACCAGGAAAUUGGUCAAGGUGAAGCUGGUCCCAAUAGCCUAUGCCUAGAAGAAAAUGCCUGUCCAAUGAGUGAGGGUGGGUCUAAAUAAUCCACCAUCUGGAAACUGAGAGGAGGGGGAAAUGGAAAUAUGUCUUCCAUGUUAUCAGAUAAUGGCCUGGAGAUAAGAUGGAGGGAAAGGAGUUUAGGGGUCACAGACUUAUCCCAGGACCCUCUCUCUGGCCAGGAAGCAAGGGAAAGAAACACUUGCUGUCUAUACCUUGGGAAUGUGCAGAGCUAAUGAGGUUCCCACCAGCCUUAUCAGCACCCCCACCCCCAUCUAGAGGGGCCUACAGUCUGUAAAUAUUUUGCUUCAGAAAGGUCCAGAAGGUCAGAAACCUUCAGAACAAUAUUGUCCAGCUGUCCAAACAGGAACUGGUAUUAGAAACAGAAACAGACCCAAGGCAACCUUCUCCACCUCUUUCCACUUUCCACUUUGGCAGGUGGAAAAUAAUCCCAUCAGAGGAAAUACCUGGAAGAGGAAGUUGCAGUGCUGACUGUCCAAAAACUGGAAUCUGGGUUUUGUAGUUUCCCUCUUCAGUGUUGAUCUGCCCAGAGCCACCCAGCUCUGCUUCUCCCUGCCGGCUGCCUUCAACCGGUUGACUGGCAGUUCUGCUUCACAUGGUGUCAUCUGGGGCACUGGCACAGCUGGAAGUUCCAAAAUGGCCUCACUCACAUGGCCAGUAGUUUGUGCGGGCUACAGGCUGGCUUAGAAUGGUCGUGGGUCAGGGGCCUUGGUUCUUCUCCACUUGGACCUUUCCAGAAAGGGCUUUCACACAGCUGCUUGGGUUGCCUUACAAACUGGAGGGUGCGUUCCAAGAAGAAGCAUUUCAAGACAAGAGAUAGAGACAGCCAGCGAGAGAGGGAACACAAGCCGCGGGAGUGGGAGAGGAA